GGGGAUGGCACAACAUGGCUGUAAUCCCAGCACUUGGGAGGCUGAGGCAGGAGGAUCAAAGGUUAAAGUCUGCCUGUGCUGCAUAGUAAGACCUUGUCUCCAAAGAUAAAGUUAAUGAAGAUGACAAUGUUUAAAGAGUCAGUUGCAUUAUUAUUACUGUUAUUAUUAUUAUUUCAGAUGAUAGUGGUGGUGACUGUGAUGGCGGCCUUGUUUUCCCGGGGGAGGGGGGUGCUUUGGUCAGUAACAGUAAUAACAGCUGUGCACUUGGACAGUUCAGCAGUUGAGAAUGUAUGAGCAUUCAGUAGAAUGCCAGGGUGUGGUUGGGCAGGAAAUGACAGAAGUUAUCACCAUUCAGACUAUCUCUACUGCUUUGGUCAAAUGAGUGAAUCAACAUCUCAAGAUCAGUCCAAGCCUGACCAGGACAAUGGAAAAGAAGACAGGGAACAGCAGCAGGACUCCUCAAAGGACAAAAAGGACAGAAAGGACGAAAAGAAUGAAAAGGACUUAAAGGAAACAAAGGAGGAAAAGGACAAAAAGGAAGAAAAGAACAAAAAGGACAAAAAGAAGGAAAAGGACAAACAGGACACAAAGGAGGAAGAGGACACAAAGGAGGAAGAGGACACAAAGGAGGAAGAGGAUAAAGAGGGCGAAAAGGAGGUAGAGCCCCCGAGUAAUCAGAUAACAGUAUGACCGAGUAAGCUGACUGCAUAACUUCUUAUGAAGAAGGAAAAGUGUGGAUGGUCAAAAUGAGAGGGCAAGGGCAAAGUGCAAAUCCAGGUUGAUUAUUAAGCUGAUGG
rnacentral:lncRNA from 1 species